CCAAGAAAAUUCUGGACCACAACUUUGUUUUUUCCUUAAAGAAAGACCUUGACCAAAACCAAACAGUAUUUUCCUCCAUUUAUAAAGUUCAUUGUUUCUAUCCUGCUUUUGAUUUCUUACACAAUUUUUCUUUUUGGAGGUAUUUCAUUCUGCUGCAACUUGAAAAUCAAAAGUUGCAACCAGAUCUGACUGCUGAACAACUGAAAAGGACUGUGAAUUGAAUAUAUAACCUUCUCACUGAUAUACAAUAUCAUCACUGUCAUUUUUGUAUCACAACAUAAGGAUUACUCAAAGUCUCGCAAGUCAAUAAUAAAACAAAACCAACAGGAUUUGGAAACUUAUGGGAGAUCUGUACAUCAUGUCUUCUUUGGUCGGUGUACUUCAUGUUUUGGGCAGGUUUGUUGUACAAUCACAUACCUACUUCUGUAGAUGGGUAGA